UGGGGAUGGCGAUCUCCCCACGAGGCGUCAGCCGGAGAAUCGC
rnacentral:ncRNA from 1 species